UACGAAGGGGGCGAGCGUUGUUCGGAAUUACUGGGCGUAAAGGGCGCGUAGGCGGCGACCCAAGUCAGAUGUGAAAGUCCUGGGCUUAACCUGGGGACUGCAUUUGAUACUGGGUUGCUUGAAUUCGGGAGAGGAUAGCGGAAUUCCCAGUGUAGAGGUGAAAUUCGUAGAUAUUGGGAAGAACACCGGUGGCGAAGGCGGCUAUCUGGACCGACAUUGACGCUGAACGGCGAAAGCUAGGGGAGCAAACGGG
rnacentral:rRNA from 1 species